GAAAACUUCACGUUGGCCUGGAAACUUCUUCCAGGCUAAGCCUGAGUCUUCACCAGACACUGCAGCACGAAGGCCCUUCUGCCUUUUGGCUCGCCCUGGCCCAGAAUGCGCACCAGCCGGUAGAGAGGAGCUUCGGGCCGUUUAGCCCUGGGGCAAGAGAAAGAGGCCCACUGCAAUAUGCUGUGAAGAAUACAUAAGAAGUCAAACUGUUGACCUCUUUUCCCCAGCCCGUUCCAAAACUACAUCCCUGAGGAGUUGUGCACCUCUACGGAAAGUUCAGAUGAAAGAGCUAAUUCCCCUUGAUCUCUCUUCUUGUUCAGAGUGGAGGAAAAACAUAUACCAUCCCUUCCAUCAAUCCUCAGCAUAACUUUGCCAGGGACACUGGUAACAAGCUACUUUUACCUCAGAAGUUGGAGAGUAUCACUUGACCCACAUUGUGUAUGUGUAAAUAUCUUUAUUCAGUGUAUAUACAAUAUAUUCUUAAUUUGACUCUCAAA
rnacentral:lncRNA from 1 species